CGAAUAGGGCGGUACCUUGACGGUACCUGACGAGAAAGCCACGGCUAACUACGUGCCAGCAGCCGCGGUAAUACGUAGGUGGCAAGCGUUGUCCGGAUUUAUUGGGCGUAAAGCGCGCGCAGGCGGCUAUGUAAGUCUGGUGUUAAAGCCCGGGGCUCAACCCCGGUUCGCAUCGGAAACUGUGUAGCUUGAGUGCAGAAGAGGAAAGCGGUAUUCCACGUGUAGCGGUGAAAUGCGUAGAGAUGUGGAGGAACACCAGUGGCGAAGGCGGCUUUCUGGUCUGUAACUGACGCUAAGGCGCGAAAGCGUGGGGAGCAAACAGGAUUAGAUACCC
rnacentral:rRNA from 1 species